rnacentral:rRNA from 1 species
UACGGAGGAGGCAAGCGGUAUCCGGAAUUAUUGGGCGUAAAGCGUCCGUAGGUGGUUGGCCAAGUCUGCUGUCAAAGGGUGGGGCUUAACCUCAUAAAGGCAGUGGAAACUGGCGAGCUAGAGUGCGGUAGGGGUAGGGGGAAUUACCAGUGUAGCGGUGAAAUGCGUAGAGAUUGGGAAGAACAUCGGUGGCGAAUGCGUCCUGCUGGGCCUGCACUGACACUGAGUGACGAAAGCUAGUGGAGCGAAAGGG